rnacentral:siRNA from 1 species
CUUACACGUGUCAACAUCUGAUC